rnacentral:rRNA from 1 species
UACGGAGGGGGCGAGCGUUAUUCGGAAUCACUGGGCUUAAAGAGUCCGUAGGCGGCAUGUUAGGUGAGGUGUGAAAUCCCCCGGCUCAACCGAGGAAUUGCGCUUCAAACCGGCGUGCUUGAGGAAGAUAGAGGUGGGGCGGAACGUGAAUGGUGGAGCGGUGAAAUGCGUUGAUAUCAUCAGGAACGACCGGAGCGAAGGCGGCCCACUGGAUCGGUACUGACACUG